rnacentral:rRNA from 1 species
GACGAACGCUGGCGGCGUGCCUAAUACAUGCAAGUAGAACGCUGAAGGAGGAGCUUGCUUCUCUGGAUGAGUUGCGAACGGGUGAGUAACGCGUAGGUAACCUGCCUGGUAGCGGGGGAUAACUAUUGGAAACGAUAGCUAAUACCGCAUAAUAGCAGUUGUUGCAUGACAACUGUUUGAAAGGUGCAAUUGCACCACUACCAGAUGGACCUGCGCUGUAUUAGCUAGUUGGUGGGGUAACGGCUCACCAAGGCGACGAUACAUAGCCGACCGGAGAGGGGGAUCGGCCACACUGGGACUGAGACACGGCCCAGACUCCUACGGGAGGCAGCAGUAGGGAAUCUUCGGCAAUGGACGGAAGUCUGACCGAGCAACGCCGCGUGAGUGAAGAAGGUUUUCGGAUCGUAAAGCUCGGUUGUAAGAGAAGAACGAGUGUGAGAGUGGAAAGUUCACACUGUGACGGUAUCUUACCAGAAAGGGACGGCUAACUACGUG